GAUGAAGAAACGUAGCGAAAUGCGAUAAGUAAUGUGAAUUGCAGAAUUCAGUGAAUCAUCGAAUCUUUGAACGCACAUUGCGCCCGCUGGUAUUCUAGCGGGCAUGCCUGUUCGAGCGUCAUUUCAACCCUCAAGCCCCCGGGCUUGGCGUUGGGGAUCGGCCGGGCCCUCCGGGGCCCCCGGCCGCCCCCGAAAUCUAGUGGCGGUCUCGCUGUAGCCUCCUCUGCGUAGUAACUCACCUCGCUCUGGAAGCCGGCGCGGCCACGCCGUUAAACACCCCACUUCUCAAGGUUGACCUCGGAUCAGGUAGGAAUACCCGCUGAACUUAAGCAUAUCAAUAAGCGGAGGA
rnacentral:misc_RNA from 1 species